rnacentral:rRNA from 1 species
GUGGGGAAUCUUGCGCUAAUGCGGGAAACCGUGACGCAGCGACGCCGCGUGAGGGAAGAAGGCCUUCGGGUUGUAAACCUCUUUCAGGAGGGACGAAGCCACUCGGGUUAAUAGCCCAGAGGGUGACGGUACCUCCAGAAGAAGCCCCGGCUAACUACGUGCCAGCAGCCGCGGUAAUACGUAGGGGGCAAGCGUUGUCCGGAUUUAUUGGGCGUAAAGAGCGUGUAGGCGGCUAGAUAGGUCCGUUGUGAAAACUCGAGGCUCAACCUCGAGACGUCGAUGGAAACCAUCUGGCUAGAGUCCGGAAGAGGAGAGUGGAAUUCCUGGUGUAGCGGUGAAAUGCGCAGAUAUCAGGAAGAACACCCGUGGCGAAGGCGGCUCUCUGGUACGUGACUGACGCUGAGACGCGAAAGCGUGGGGAGCAAACAGGAUUAGAAACCCGAGUAGUCC